rnacentral:lncRNA from 1 species
UCCAAGAGUACCUUGAGUUUCAGCGGCAACAAGGACAGAAUCUGGACCCCUAACAUACCCUGCCAUAGAACUUGCUGCUUUUAGGUACAUAGCUUGACUAUGUUAAUUCGAUCCGGUGGAUUUUAAAUUUGGAUGCUAAGAAAAAUCUGUAUCCUUGCAGUGGUAGCCAUCUGAAAGCGACAUAACAAAGUCAGUAGACGUGUGUUGAAUCAUGGAUGACAUUCUUGGAAUUUUUAUUUUAUUUUAACCCUUUGUAAUCAAUAUCUUAAUACUUAAUAAACACUCCUAGCUUUUCUUAAAACUAACCCUUGAGCCAAGGUGUGUGGCCGCUGCGCCACAUGCACCACGGCACUACGGCAGGAGUGCCACCCUAGUGCAGCUUGCUAGCUAGUGUUGAAGCUUUGCGUUUCACCAAGCUGUGCCGAGCUGCCUGCUGUUCCCAUGCUGAAAUGCGACGAUUUUGGCCACCCCUUGUGGUGUUGUAGUUGGUGUUUUUUUUUUUUUUGGGGGGGGGGGGGGGGGAGAUCCCUUCGAUUCGUGUUUCUUGGUCAUAUUCGGUAGUUUGACCUCACUCACCUAGGAUUAUACAAUGGUUUUGAAUGUCUAAGAGCAACUCUAGCUACUAGAUUGAGAAAACUUAGUCCCCCUAUAUAUCAGGUUAAAAGGGGACUGAAAAACUAACACUCUAAACUAUGGGGAAGAUGUGCUCCAACAGAUUGAGAAAUCUUCACCCCCGAUAUAUAUAGGACUCACAUGUCAGUUGAUAAAAAAGAAAUCACUUUGCUUUCCUCUCCUUCCUCCGCAGCGACAACAGCGGCACGGAGGAGCAGUGCAUGAUGGCAGCCUACCUAGAGGAGCGACAGCAUGGUGACAUCUUGUUUAGACAAAGCGGUGCACGGUAGCCGGUGGCCUGGAAGACGAAGCAUGGUGGCAGCCAGCCCCCAAGAGCAAUGGCGUGCAAUGGGAGGUGAUCGUGUUGUGUGGCUCAGUGUGUGAUAGAAAAGAAAAAGGGAUGGAUUGCUCUCUCAUUUCUUUGAGGGACUGAGAGGAUGAGAUUUUUUUUAGAGGAACAAUAUAGAAAAAGGGGAUCCUCUUUUUACAAGAAUAUAGGGAAAGAGACCACUUUCUCAAUCAGGUAGAGAGUUGCUCUAGCAAUGGAACAAAAGAUUGGGUAGAUUGAAGGACCGAAAGCGGCGACCAGAGGGGGGUGAAUGGGAGCCUCAAAUUUCCUUUAGAAAUAUUUUUGGCCACUGUCCCAAAUCACCGCCAAACACAAACAAGUACCCAAAACUAAAUUACUCAGGCCAAUUAGUGACAAGAGUAAUUAGAUAAAUUCCUCACAACGAUAGAAAGCUAACGCUACAGACGGAACUUAAAACGGAGCUCAAACGACUAAGCUGCACAUAAAACAGAAAAUCAAAGCCUGAAAAAUUAACCAGAAAAUCCCCUGAAAAACGAUCAUCAAGGAAUACAGAGAGAUAGCAUGUCAACCUGAGGCUGUCGAAUCUGCACAACUGGGUGCUCACGUGCUCUGCUCAUACCACUUACAGAAAGAAAUAAGAAUAAAUUCACAAUCGUAAAAACCACUCUCAGCAAGAAGGGUAAAAUUUAAUACUCCAAAAUAAACUAACGAACCUACAAGAAGUUCACGGAAGCAAGAGCAAAUUCCUCGAUCAAUCAAAAACUGAGACUCAAAAGCAAUCACCGAUAGGACAUACAACUAUAGGAAAAAGGGUCCAAGGUUUGCACUGGAGAUCUUCACCGCUUAAACUGAAAGCUGAAAUCAUGCCCUGCACAGAUCGGUGGAUGAGCGCUCACCUGGCCUGCUUCUGGAGAUCGACUGAGUCACAGACUCGAGCACAAGAAUCAAGCAGACACAGAGAGAAGCGCUGGGACAAGUUUGUUCACGCCAGCAGAGAGGAGAUCGAACCUGAUCAAAACAAGAACACCUGCAAGAACUUGGGAGUAGCACGGGUCUGCUCGUGCUCACAAGCCUGGAGCCACGGACGAGCCCCGGCCCCGACGGGCCUAUUCCCCGUGCAGACGGAUUGCCUGGAACUGAGGCAACGCUGCUCAAUCGAGCACACACGGCGUCGAGCGCUCGGCGUUGGUAGCGUUGCUGUCUGAUCCCAUGAGUCUACCAAAUCACGAGCAGGAGAACAGACGCACAAACAGAAGAAUAAACAAAAACAGCAGCACCCACACAAUCGAUGAAAUCCAACUCAAAUCAAAAGGACUCGCUCCUAAACUUUGCACAAAUGAAAUUUACCUAGGCACGAACUCAUCUCUAAAGAAUCAUUACCUGAGAUUAACUCAAACUCCAGGAAAUCGAGAUCUUAGCCAAGAACGAAAAAGCUUCUUCAGGACGAAAAACAGGACACAGACAACAACGAAAAUCACAGGCUUAAGUUAGGAAUCCUAAAGGACAAAAGGAGGAUUUGGGCCUCCAUUCCCACUCCAAAACCAACACAAAUACUACGAAUUUUACCAGUUCAUGAAUCUCCAGAACUCAAAGAAAAAUAAGCUAAAACCUAGAGAGAAAAGAAAAACUGCCUGUUGGCAGAGAGGUGGAAAGAGAUAGGUGGGGAGAGAGUUGGGGAGGUAGGGAACUCCCCCGGUUUAUUUAUCAGGCAUAUUACAUAUUCUCCAAAUAUUCCU